GAUGAAGAACGCAGCGAAAUGCGAUAAGUAAUGUGAAUUGCAGAAUUCAGUGAAUCAUCGAAUCUUUGAACGCACAUUGCGCCCGCCAGUAUUCUGGCGGGCAUGCCUGUUCGAGCGUCAUUACAACCCUCAGGCCCCCGGGCCUGGCGUUGGGGAUCGGCGGAGCCCCCCGUGGGCACACGCCGUCCCCCAAAUACAGUGGCGGUCCCGCCGCAGCUUCCAUCGCGUAGUAGCUAACACCUCGCGACUGGAGAGCGGCGCGGCCACGCCGUAAAACACCCAACUCUUCUGAAGUUGACCUCGAAUCAGGUAGGAAUACCCGCUGAACUUAAACAUAUCAAUAAGCGGAGGA
rnacentral:misc_RNA from 1 species